rnacentral:other from 12 species
CAGGGUCCUUUAAUCUGUAUCUCUAUAAGAACACUCAAUUUUCACGCUUUCUGUCUUCUUUCUUCCAGGGCUCUCCCCUUGCCCUAGGCUCUGGCCGUUGCGCCCGGCGGGGUCAACUCCAUGAUUAGCAUGGAGCUGUAGGAGUCUAAAUUGGGGACACAGAUGUUUGGGACGUCUCCUUGCAGUGUUAACUUGGCUCUUCAUAAACCUCUUUGAUCUUCCACAAGAAGUACGCUACGGGUGAAACCUCUUAGGCUAAUACUUCUAUGAAAAGAUACCUUGGAUAGGGUAACACCGGCGGAUAUUGGUGAGUUGUUAAGACAAAAACCAUUCAACGCCGAAGGACUGGCUCUCAUCCAGUGGAUGCAUUGAGUGAAUUGAUUGUCAGGGCUGUCUCUAGGUUUAAUCUCAGACCUCUCUGUGCUUAGGGCAAACACUAUUUGGCCUUAAAUGGGAUCCUGUGAGAGGGGGUCCCUCCAUUGACAGCUGGACUGUUCUUUGGGGCCUUAUGUGGUGUUUGCCUCUGAGGUACUCAGGGGCAUUUAGGUUUUUCCUCACUCUUAAACAAUAAUG